rnacentral:rRNA from 1 species
GAUGAACGCUGGCGGCGUGCCUAAUACAUGCAAGUCGAGCGACGCGGGGACGGGGGAGUAACACGUGGAUAACCUCCUCUAAGACUGGGAUAACUUAGGGAAAACGGAGCUAAACCGGAUACUUAUCCCUGGAGCCGUGCUGCAUUAGCUAGUUGGUAGGGUAACGGCUUACCAAGGCAACGAUGUAUAGCCGACCUGAGAGGGUGAUCGGCCACACUGGAACUGAGACACGGUCCAGACUCCUACGGGAGGCAGCAGUGGGGAAUCUUCCACAAUGGGCGAAAGCCUGACGGAGCAACGCCGCGUGAAUGAUGAAGGUCUUCGGAUCGUAAAACUCUGUUAUUAGGGAAGCGGUACCUAAUCAGAAAGCCACGGCUAACUCCGUGCCAGCAGCCGCGGUAAUAC